GCAGGUCAAAGCGGCAAAUUCAAAACCAUAGCUACUCAGCCGCCAGAUUUUGAAGGGAAGCAGAGUAGAAAUCACAGUUAGAUGCCUCAGUAUCCUUAUCUGUAAAACUGCUGCCAUUAAAGUGGCAAGAGAAGCUGACCUCAUUGGAAAGUGUCACCUGGACUCUCCUCAGCUGGUUUCCAUUUGCAUUUGGGCAGUGGAAGGCAUUCGGGAAGAUGGGAGGCAAAAGAAAAAAGACAUCAGGAUAUGUAUUCUCCAUUCUUUCUCUGGUUUUGGCUACAGAUCUGCUGGUGGAUAUGUUUAUCAUAAAUGUACCUCCCUUGACAAAUGGUUCUUCCUUUAGGGCUCAAAUUCACUGAAUUCUGGAAACACUUUGCUCCCUUGCUAUAUAUCCCAGAGGUGGCACAGGUUCCUGCUGUUGCUAGAUUCUAAACAUUUCAACUAGGGGCCAUAAAGACCAAGGCAUGAUUAGAAGUCUGGAACUUGCAGCCCCAUUCCCCCAAUCCUCCAAAAAGGGGAGGAGAGUGGACAGCAGCUGGUGUGCACAUGAAGACGUCUCCAUAAAAAUCCCUGACCUAGGGGAUUUGGGAGCUUCUGGGUUGCUGAACAAGUAGAGGUGCUUGGAAGGUGGCAAUAGAAGCCCUUCUCCCCUUCUCCCAUACCUUGCCCUAUGUACCUCUUCAUCUGGCUGUUCAUCUGUAUCCUUUGUAAUGUCCUUAAUAAUAAACUGGUUAAUGUAAGUAAACAGUUUCCCUGAAUUCUGGGAGCCACUCUAGCAAACGAACGUAACCCGAGGACGGGGGUCAUGGGAACCACCCAAUAAUAAAUAGCAAGGUGAUCAAAAGUUCCAGGGUCUGGUAAGACUGAGCCCUUACCUGUGGGAUCUGGCUUUAACUUCCCAUAGAUGGAAUCAGAAUUGAAUUGAAUUAUAGGACACUCAGUUGGUGUCUACUGAAGAAUUACUUGGUGGCGCGAAAAGCACAUUUUGGUGAUCAGAAGUGUUCUGUACUGUGUUGAGUGUGAGAGUAGAAAAACAACUUAUUUAGUUUUUCCUACCGUAUACACAAUAUAUAUUCCCCCACUUCUUUGCAGUUUUUCAUGAGAGGGACACACUAUCCCUUUGUGCCACCCAGAUUCACAAAAACCGUAUCUGAACCCUCUUUUUCAUCCUCCUCCUUCUAUGGUACACGUAAGCAUCCCUGGAAGUGCUGCACAGCUUGGCCUAGCAGUGUCCACCAAAAUUUUUCCAAGCAAACCUGGAAAUAAGUUUUGUCAAUUUUAAAAUUUAUUCUUCCCAAUGCCAACUCUUUAUCUUCCUCUUGCCCUCCAAGAAUGUAUAAAAAAAGGAUGCAUUAACUGUGUUAAAAUAUUUGUGGUCACGGGCGGCGCCUGUGGCUCAGUGAGUAGGGCGCCAGCCCUUUAUACCGAGGAUGGUGGGUUCAAACCCAGCCCCGGCCAAACUGCAACCAAAAAGUAGCCAGGCGUUGUGGCAGGCACCUGUAGUCGGGAGGCUGAGGCAAGAGAAUGGCGUAAGCCCAAGAGCUAGGGG